CACCGAUGAAUAACCUCCAUCCUGUAUAUUCCAACCAAUUCUCCUGGAAAGAUAACUCCUUUUAUCCAAGGCGUAUUAACAAGGUUCUGGUGAAGAUAAUUCAUAUUGUUCAAAAUAAACAAUUCGAGGUAAUUGUGAUUAUAAACUUCCCAUGGAAAUUCCUUCGAUUUUUUGUAACGGGGCUAACAAAACAACUUAAACUUGAACUCUGGCAGGUCACCUAUAUAUUUGAUAUUCCCAAAAUAAAUCCCAAUUAAUGUAACGAGAGCAUCAUCGAGUUGUAGUACGCUAAAGUUUAUUAAAAAAAUCUAGAAUGAAAUUCUUCACGAAUCUCUCAAUUUUACUCGUUUUCCUAUCAUUUUGUUGGGUAAACUGUGGAGUGAUAUCGCCUUAUAGAAAUUGCGACCCAACUUUGUGUAGCAGGAUGAGAUGCUACAGGGUGGAUGAAUCUGUAUGUGACAAGAACAGCGAAGUUUUUGUUCCAAGGGAUGGAAUCUGUCAUUGCUGCGAUAGCUGUAUGUCUAUAGACAAGUUUUUGGGAAUGAGAGAUUCAUACAGCUGACUGACUU